UGGGGAAUAUUGGACAAUGGGCGCAAGCCUGAUCCAGCCAUGCCGCGUGAGUGAUGAAGGCCCUAGGGUUGUAAAGCUCUUUCACCGGUGAAGAUAAUGACGGUAACCGGAGAAGAAGCCCCGGCUAACUUCGUGCCAGCAGCCGCUGUAAUACGAAGGGGGCUAGCGUUGUUCGGAUUUACUGGGCGUAAAGCGCACGUAGGCGGACUAUUAAGUCAGGGGUGAAAUCCCGGGGCUCAACCCCGGAACUGCCUUUGAUACUGGUAGUCUUGAGUUCGAGAGAGGUGAGUGGAAUUCCGAGUGUAGAGGUGAAAUUCGUAGAUAUUCGGAGGAACACCAGUGGCGAAGGCGGCUCACUGGCUCGAUACUGACGCUGAGGUGCGAAAGCGUGGGGAGCAAACAGG
rnacentral:rRNA from 1 species